rnacentral:rRNA from 1 species
AUACGUAGGUGACAAGCGUUAUCCGGAUUUACUGGGCGUAAAGGGCGUGUAGGCGGUCUUGCAAGUCAGAAGUGAAAUUCCUGAGCUCAACACGAUCAUGCGCUGGAAACUGCUGGGCUUGAGUCAACGAGGGGAUGCCGGAAUUCCAGGUGUAGGGGUGAAAUCUGUAGAUAUCUGGAAGAACACCGAUGGCGAAGGCAGGCAUCUGGCGACUGACUGACGCUGAGGCGCGAAGGUGCGGGGAGCAAACAGGUUUAGAUACCCUGGUAGUCCGCACAGUAAACGAUGUGCACCAGGUGGCGGGCAGCAGUGCUCGGUACCGAAGCAAACGCAUUAAGUGCACCGCCUGGGGAGUAUGCUCGCAAGGGUGAAACUCAAAGGAAUUGACGGGG